CCUACGGGAGGCAGCAGUGGGGAAUAUUGGACAAUGGGCGAAAGCCUGAUCCCAGCAAUGCCGCGUGAGUGAAGAAGGCCUUAUGGUUGUAAAGCACUUUUAAGCGAGGAGGAGGCUACUGAGACUAAUACUCUUGGAUAGUGGAACGUUACUCGCAGAAUAAGCACCGGCUAACUCUGUGCCAGCAGCCGCGGUAAUACAGAGGGUGCGAGCGUUAAUCGGAUUUACUGGGCGUAAAGC
rnacentral:rRNA from 1 species